GAAAUGCGAUAGUAAUGUGCAUUGCAGAAUUCCGUGAAUCAUCGAAUCUUUGAACGCACAUUGCGCCCUCUGGCAUUCCGGGGGGCAUGCCUGUCCGAGCGUCAUUACGCACCCUCAAGCCCGGCUUGUGUGAUGGGCCCCGGCGUCUCGUUCGCGAGACGGGCCCGAAAGGCAGCGGCGGCGUCGACCCGAUGAGCCCGAGCGUAUGGGGACUUCUGUCACACGUUCGCGGUGCGGACCGGCGCCUGCUUGACUUUUCUGAUUAUCCAGGUUGACCUCGGAUCAGGUAGGGAUACCCGCUGAACUUAAGC
rnacentral:misc_RNA from 1 species